AGUCACUGACAUUAGAUACCCGGGUAGUCCAGGGUGUAAACGCUGCAGACUUGGUGUUGGGGCCCUUUGGGGCAUUCAGUGCCGGAGAGAAGUUGUUAAGUCUGCUACUUGGGGAGUACGUCCGCAAGGAUGAAACUUAAAGGAAUUGGCGGGGGAGCACCGCAACGGGAGGAGCGUGCGGUUUAAUUGGAUUCAACACCGUAAAACUCACCAGGGAAGACUGUUACAUGAAGGCCGAGAUGAAGACUCUGCUAGAUUUUCAG
rnacentral:rRNA from 1 species